GUAGAGACCGAUAGCAACCACGUGAUCAGUAAAAAUCGUGUAUUUUCACGUGAAAUUAUUUUUCGGAAUUCCGUACAUCGUCAUAGAGUAGUUGAAAAACAAAAAGGGGUUCCGAAAGUACAAGUUGUUGCUGUGACUGAAUCGAUGAUUGAGAGGGUCGUCUCGACGAAAGAUAGAGAAAUUUGGCCAUAGUUUAGAUUAGGAAUACGUCAAUGUAAUAAUAGUAGACUAAAUGUUUCGUCCGUGCAGAAUGGCACUUUUUACCUCACGAAAUUCACCACCAUGCAUAGCUGCGCUACGUAAACAAAGUUGUUGAUGUAGCGUGAUCGUGAUGUCCGAGUGCUGCGAGUUUCAAUACUGUUUAUGUAGUCAUUGAGAGUUUAAACAAAGUUUCUUCUGAGAAGAGGAAUUCGAUGGAUGCAUUCAACGUGGACAACGAAAUCAUAAUUUCGUUUGCAUCAUCCUAAGGACCAGUGCAAGUUGAAAUGGGCUUCCAGCCAACAACUUCAACAGCAAUUUGCCAUGAAAAUCAGCAAGAAAGGUACUUCAUUUACAUUGAUGAUGUCAUAUCCCCUGGACCCCACAACUUUACAGGUUACAGAGAAAAUUCAAGAACGUCUGCAAAAUGUGGGACUUGGAUAGAAUCAAUAAUGUAUUUGUGAGCCCAGAGCAAUGUCUAUAUUGUGCAACAUACUAAAGUGUGAAUUUAAUGGAAAACAAGUACAUGUACUCAUGUAUUACAUGUCUUUUUUAAAGACAAUAAUAUUGUAUACAUAUAGAGGAAGUGUCAUUGUUGAUUAUUCUAAGUUUUUGAUAUAUCAAAAUCAGUAAACAUUUCUAAAUGAAAAUAAAAUACCAAUUUUAUAACUUUAA